CGUUGACUCCAAUUGAACCGCAGGCUUCACCCCUUGUGGUGCUCCCCCGCCAAUCCUUUAAGUUCAUACUUGCGUACGUACUUCCAAGGCGGCAGACUUAACGGCUUCCCUGCGGCACUGCAUUGGCCACAAGCCAAUGCAUCACCGAGUCUGCAUCGUUUACAGCUGGGACUACCCGGGUAUCUAAUCCGGUUUGCUCCCCCAGCUUUCAUCCCUCACCGUCGAACGUGUUCUGGUACACCGCCUUCGCCACAGGUGGUCUUCAAUAGAUCAAAGGAUUUUACCCCUUCCUAUCGAGUACCGUGUACCUCUCCCACUCCCUAGCUGCACAGUAUUUUCGGCGGCCUAUACGUUAAGCGCAUAGAUUUAACCGAAAACUUAUGCAACCGGCUACGGAUGCUUUAGGCCCAAUAAACCUCCUGACCACUCGAGGUGCUGGUUUUACCGCGGCGGCUGACACCAGAACUUGCCCACCCCUUAUUCACCAGUGAUUCUACAACUGACAAAAGACUCCUUUAGCAGGAGACACUCGGAUUAACCUUGUCGUGUUUUCGCACAUUGCAAAGGUUUCU
rnacentral:rRNA from 1 species